GAUGAACGCUGGCGGCGUGCCUAAUACAUGCAAGUCGAGCGAAUGGAUUAAGAGCUUGCUCUUAUGAAGUUAGCGGCGGACGGGUGAGUAACACGUGGGUAACCUGCCCAUAAGACUGGGAUAACUCCGGGAAACCGGGGCUAAUACCGGAUAACAUUUUGAACCGCAUGGUUCGAAAUUGAAAGGCGGCUUCGGCUGUCACUUAUGGAUGGAACCGCGUCGCAUUAGCUAGUUGGUGAGGUAACGGCUCACCAAGGCAACGAUGCGUAGCCGACCUGAGAGGGUGAUCGGCCACACUGGGACUGAGACACGGCCCAGACUCCUACGGGAGGCAGCAGUAGGGAAUCUUCCGCAAUGGACGAAAGUCUGACGGAGCAACGCCGCGUGAGUGAUGAAGGCUUUCGGGUCGUAAAACUCUGUUGUUAGGGAAGAACAAGUGCUAGUUGAAUAAGCUGGCACCUUGACGGUACCUAACCAGAAAGCCACGGCUAAAGACGUGCCAGCCGCCGCGGUAA
rnacentral:rRNA from 1 species